rnacentral:rRNA from 1 species
CUGAACGCUGGCGGCGUGGCUAAGACAUGCAAGUCGAACGGGGUGUAGCAAUACACCAGUGGCGGACGGGUGAUAAUGUAUCGCUAAUGUACCCUAGAGCCUGGGAUAGCUGCCCGAAAGGGCAGGUAAUACCAGAUGAAAUACUCUUAUCGCAUGAUGAGAGUCUCAAAGCAGCAAUGCACUCCUGGAGCAGGCGAUAUCGUAUCAGCUAGUUGGUAGGGUAACGGCUACCAAGGCGACGACGCGUAGCCGGGCUGAGAGGUCGGCCGGCCACAUUGGGACUGAGACACUGCCCAGACUCCUACGGGGGGCUGCAGUAACGAAUCUUCCGCAAUGCACGAAAGUGUGACGGAGCGACGCCGCGUGUAGAUGAAGUCCUUCGGGAUGUAAACUACUGUCAGGGGAAAGAAAGUUCUGAUCUACCCCAGAGGAAGAGACGGCUAACUCUGUGCCAGCAGCCGCGGUAAUACAGAGGUCUCGAGCGUUAGGCGGAAUCACUGGGCUUAAAGCGUGUGUAGGCGGACUGGUAAGUACCUUGUGAAAUCCCACGGCUCAACCGUGGAGCUGCUUGGUAUACUGCUUGUCUUGUGCAACCUAGGGGCGAGCGGAACAGAUGGUGGAGCGGUGGAAUGCGUAGAUAUCAUCUGGAACCGCCAACGGUGAAAACAGCUCGCUGGGGGUUUGCAGACGCUGAGACACGAAAGCCAGGGGGAGCGAACGGGAUUAGAUACCCCGGUAGUCCUGGCCCUAAACGAUGUCCACUAGAUCGUAAGUUGCUCUGACGUAUUAUGUCGAAGCAAAAGUGCUAAGUGGACCGCCGGUAAGUACGGUCGCAAGGCUAAAACUCAAAGGAAUUGACGGGGGCUCACACAAGCGUGGAGCAUUGUGGUUCAAUUCGAAGCAACGCGCAGAACCUUACCUGGGCUUGACAUGCUAGGAUUAUCCCUGUGAAAGCAGGGUAGGGCCCUUCGGGGUACAACUAGUACAGGCUGCUGCAUGGCUGGUCGUCAGCUCGUGUCGUGAAUGUCCGGGUUAAAGUCCCUUAACGAGCGAAACCUUUGCCCUUAGUUACCAGCGAGUAAAGUCGGGGACUCUAAGGGGACUGCCGGUGUCAAACCGGAGAAGGUGGAGAUGACGUCAGUCCUCAUGGCCUUUAUGCCCAGGGCCACACACGUGCUACAAUGGGGUGCACAGAGCGAACCGAGAGCGCAAGCUGGAGGAAAUCGCAUAAAUCACCCCCCAGUUCAGAUCGGAGGCUGCAACUCGCCUCCGUGAAGUUGGAAUCGCUAGUAAUCGCGGAUCAGCUACGCCGCGGUGAAUGUGUUCCUGAGCCUUGUACACAACCGCCCGUCAAGUCAUGGGAGCCGGAAAUAGCCGAAGUUGUCUCACUACAGAGAUACCUACGCUAGGUUCGGUGAUGGGACU